UGUCGAUGCGCCCUCUGCUGACAGGAAUGCACGGCGGCCAAAGUCGAUUGCCGGCUACCUUCACCCGGAGGAUCGCAGCGUCUCAUUCGCUCGCAGGAGAAACGCGCAGCAAGCUAAGCGGCAGUCUCUUUCCACGGGCGAUAUCCGCAGCGUGGGGAGGGACAGCAGGCAGUGUGGCGACCGGUUGCACGAAUCACACCAGAGCAUCAAAGACCGUGUGCUGAAAGCGAUGCGCAAGUACAAGCCGAAGGGAGGCGAUGCGGAGAACGCACACGCUGGACCGUCAACGCUCAGCAAGAUACGCGCAAAGCUGAGGAAGAGUAAGGAGACGGACAUACACCGGCUCCACCCGGCACCGCAGCUACACCCUGUGCUGCCGCCGCCGCCGCCACCGCUGGACGCGCCACAGACUAGACGCGACGAGCUCAGCGCAACGGAAGUUGCCGCGGGAAAGGUGCAAGGAUUCGAGAGAGGUAUGGGCACGCAACUUAUGCAUCAGUCGUCUGUUGUGCAUGCAGCGCCAUCUGUGGCCAUGAUUGAAGACAUGGCUGCUAGAUUGCUGAGCCCUGCUGAGAGUGAUGCGCUUCUGUAUCACGUGAGGAGGGUAGGUCGUCAUUGGUUUAUAACACACAGAUCCAUCCACUAUGUGUGAAAAUAUCGACCAAUACGAAAAAGCUUGUUUCUCUAACAUUUCUUUUGCGAGAACACUAUUCAAAGGAACGUCUGUUUGUCCAAAAACUCAUCAUCAUU